GGUGUCAACAGUGGGAUUCUCUAGCGUGACCCUGACUCACUGAAACAUGAUUUGAGAAGAAGAAUGAGAGGGCUGAGGCUGAAGAACCUUUGACUCCUGAAUGACUACCUGGUCACCUAUGGUAUGGAACUACAGGUUUUAUCUACUACAAAGGAUAUCACUUGGGAAGGAAUUUCUUGAAACUGCUCCCAAGAGAGCCAUUGGACCAUGUGGAAUAUUAACACCAUCCAGAAUGCUAUGGGGAGAAGACACAACUGGAAGCUCCAUGUGGACAAACCUCCUGGACUCUGCCCCACAUAUCUCUUCCCUUGGCUGAUUUGAAUUUGUAUCCUUUCACUGUGAUAAACCACAACCAGAUUAUUACAGCUGUCAGCAAGUUCUUCUAUUGAAUUGUUGAAACUGAGGGUGGUCUUGGGAACCCCUGAACUCUACUGUUGGUGUCAGGAGUGAGGGAAGUCUUGUGGACUAGACUCCCUGACCUCACAGUUAGAAGCUGACAGCUGACACGCCCUUCCCUCGUGCAUUUUAUCCUGGGACAAAAUGAGAAGACAUCCUUCAGUGCCCAUCUUGGAUGGCAUAACUUCAAAACCAAGGGAGAUGGAGGAGUUUUAGAGGAGUAGAAGGCUGCAAGCAAGAACUGAUGCAUUACAUCUCCAGCCACCUCACUCUAAGAUUGUCCUGUAGCUAAGACUGUUGAAUGAGACUGUUGUUCUUCAGUUUGUAGCCACAAAGCACAGGGGCA
rnacentral:lncRNA from 1 species